GUAUUAAUGGAGGUGUGUCUACUGAUACACUGUAUUAAUGGAGGUGUGUCUACUGAUACACUGUAUUAAUGGAGGUGUGUCUAUAGAUACACUGUAUUAAUGGAGGUGUGG